GGAAGUCCCCGAAGGUGCUCCAGAUUGUUUAGCGGGUUUAACUUUUGUAAUCAGUGGAACACUUGAUAGUUUGGAGAGAGAAGAAGCAGAAGAUCUAAUUAAACGACAUGGAGGUUGUGUAACUGUAUCGCUUAGCAAGAAGAUGAAUUACCUGUUAUGUGAUGAAGAUAUUGGAGGACGGAAAUCUGCAAAAGCAAAAGAGCUCGGGUUAUUACUUUCUGUGGAUGUUGGUCGUUAUUAUAGUAUUAAAAUAGUUAGUUUGCAGUGCUCAUUUGUGGUUUUCAUUUCUUUGAUUUAGAAGAACUUUUCUUACGGAGGAUGGUUUGUUUGAUCCGAUCCGGUCAUCAAUUCGUACAAAAACG